rnacentral:pre_miRNA from 1 species
AAUAGAUGACGCCGUUAACUUUUUCUCACAUGUUUGACCAUUCGUCUUAUUCAAAAAUUUUAUAUAAAUCAUACUUAAAGUACUAUGAGUGAUAAAACAACUCAUAAUAAAAUAAAUUAUAAUUACGUAAAAUUUUUGAAUAAGACGAAUGGUCAAACAUUUGAGAAAAAAUCAACGGCGUCAUCUAUU